rnacentral:antisense_RNA from 1 species
UCGUUGAUUACUAAAUGAUGAUGAGUUCUAAAAUUAAUGAACAAUUUAAAGAUCUCCAUAGCAGGAAUAAUCCCUACACCCAUCCCUAAACUAAUCCCGACUAAAUCAGAACGAUUAACAAAUUGUUCAUCCAUUCUAAACACUGAAGCGAUCGGUCCUGUUAGUGCUACUAAUAAGAUUAAUGAAACUGAGAAUAAAGCACUAAGAUAGAUUAAUCAGUAAUAUCUGAUUGAACUUAAGAAGAUUGAUCGAUCUGACAUUAAGUUUAAACAGUGAAUUGAAGCUGCAAUUCCUAGAACAAUAAAGCCCAUUGAUGAGCCAAUCUCAUUAAAUGAUUUGAAGAUCUCAAUUUGAUCUGAGUAGAUCGCAUAAUUAAUACCAAUACUAUAAGCAGCUAAUGACAUUAAAGCAAUAAAACAUGAUUGUCAUAAAAGAUCAAUUCCCAUUCUUCUAGCAAAGAGAUUUUCAUACUUAUAGUAUGGUCGAACGUUCAUGACGUCGUUUUUUGAUUUUUGGAUCCCCAAAGCGAUCGCUGGAAACCCGUGGGUUAAGAUAUUAAUCCACAAUAACUGGGCUGCUGAUAAUAAACUAAAUUUAGCAAAUAAUCCAGCGGGGGUUUGGUUAAUUAAUGCCAAUUUAGUAGCAAUCUCAGCGUUUGUACUAAUAACAUGACGAUAAAUUGGCACCAUCACAAUUAAACCAAUGAUGAAAACUAACAAUUCAGCCAC